GACGAACGCUGGCGGCGUGCUUAACACAUGCAAGUCGAACGGAAAGGCCCUGCUUGCAGGGUACUCGAGUGGCGAACGGGUGAGUAACACGUGGGUGCUCUGCCCUGCACUUCGGGAUAAGCCUGGGAAACUGGGUCUAAUACCGGAUAGGAGCCAUUUUUAGUGUGAUGGUUGGAAAGUUUUUUCGGUGUAGGAUGAGCUCGCGGCCUAUCAGCUUGUUGGUGGGGUAAUGGCCUACCAAGGCGGCGACGGGUAGCCGGCCUGAGAGGGUGGACGGCCACAUUGGGACUGAGAUACGGCCCAGACUCCUACGGGAGGCAGCAGGGGGGAAUAUUGCACAAUGGGCGCAAGCCUGAUGCAGCGACGCCGCGUGGGGGAUGACGGCCUUCGGGUUGUAAACUCCUUUCGCUAGGGACGAAGCUUUUUGUGACGGUACCUAGAUAAGAAGCACCGGCUAACUACGUG
rnacentral:rRNA from 1 species